rnacentral:lncRNA from 1 species
CUGACAAUUCCGGUGCAAAUGUACAAUUAUUUAUAAACAUUGUACAACUGAAAAUAUCAACAGGUUUAAAGAAAACCAAAUGUUAACAUAACUAAUCAAUUUAACUCUUUAAAGGGGUGAAACUUUAGGGCAUUAAAAUCGAAAAUGGUUAGUAUAAAGUUUAUUUUGAGGUAAGUUGGUCAAUUGAUCAAUAGAAUACUGACACGCAGGCGAAGUUGUAUGUGUGUCAGUAUUCUAUUGACCAAUUGACCAACUUACCAAAAUAAUAACUUCAUGUUAACCGGAUCCAUUAAAAUCUAUUACAUAUGUUACAUUAAUGUAUUCUCACUAUGUGUAACCAUUGCAAACUAAAUGCUCACUCACAUGGAAGUUACAUUUAAAUCUAAAUCUAAAUACAAAGACAAACCCAAAAAAAAAAAACAAAAACUCGCAAACAACCUCUCUUGCUCGAGCAAUCGAUACUUCAUUAGUUACUUUGAUCAAGAAUCACCAUGCUUGUUCCAGCACACAAGCAUGGUGAUGCAUCGCUUGACGAUGUAAAAUUUGGCCUUCUGUUCCUUGGCCAAACCGCCACAUUUUCGCGUAAAAUUGGCGCAUUUUUGUGAAAAGCUCCUUGCUAGAGGAGAUUUUGAAGAAGAAGAGGAGCUCUUUUGUGAACCACUCCUUGAAAGGGGAGGCUUGGAGGAAGAGUUUUUAUGAGAGAGACUUCUUAAAAGAGGAGAGUUGGAGGUAGAGCUCUUUUGUGUGAUGCUCCUUAUUAGAGAUGAUUUGGAAGACUUAUAAGAAUGGCCAAUUGAAUGUUUUUUUGAUAUCUUGGACAUGUAGUACUCCAUAACAAGUUCAAAGAGUAACCUCUGAAUUUUCUCUUCAAGUGGGGGAGCCUAUUUAUAACAAUAUAGGGCCGUACAUAUGUUGGAUGAGCUUGUAAGUGGAUGUUGACUAGUGUUUCUUAACCAUGGCACCAUCACAG